AUUGCUUUAACUGCCAAAGGCAGGCCUCCGCAUUUCUGAACAAUUUUUCUACCAAUUUCUUCAAAGACUUUUUCUAUAUUUUGGUCCUGGUGACAAAAGGCCAACUGCUUAAAUAGCUGCCAAGAUUCAUCAAAAGUUGACAUCGCUGAUAGCAAGGCAUCCCAAAGGUCCUUCCUUUCACUCCAUACAUCAUCAAGAACUAGUAAGAACUUUCUGCCAACAACUUGUUCCAUCAGCAUAUACUCUAACUGGUCCAAUUCUGUUAUGUGACAAGGUUUUCUUGUAAAUGACAUGAUAAUUUUGCUCAUGAUGGUUUUAAGAUCAAAGUUCUCUGAUACAUAGACCCAUCCCAUCAGCCCAAAUUGCUUUGUGAUCCUUGGAUCAUUGUAAACUAUUUGAGCGAGUGUUGUCUUCCCUACUCCUCCCAUCCCAAUUAUAGGAAGAACUGAUGCAUUAUUUUCUCCACAAGCUCCAUUCAUUGAGAGCAACAACUUGACUAUGUUUUCCUUAUCAUCGUCUCUGCCAAUAACAAUGGGUUCGUCAAGAUGUGGGGUAGUUGGCCUUGGUAGAAAGUCUUCCUCCUCCUCCCUAAAUGGUGCAUCUGCCUCAUCCAGAUGGAGAUCAUUCCAUGCCUUUGUGAUCUCCUUAAAUCUUUCUAGAAUUCUUUUUACCCUGAGGGCCAAUUCAUCCGGAACUGGAACCAUCACAGGGUCUGUUUCUGGUUCCUGGAACGAAAUACUUUAGUCAAAUUGAAUCUGAUAUCUAUAUUUGUAUUUGUAUUUGUACCAUUGUCAUUAUUUAGUAAAUUGAAUUUAAUUCAGCACCACUAAAAGCUGCACUGGACCUAAUCUCGUUUAUCUUGCCCUCCUCCCAUUAUAAUAUAGUAAGAAUAUCUAUCACUGCAGUUUCUAUCCAUAAUUUUGGUAUUUUGAGUUAUUUAAAGGUACCGUGAGAAAUUUUCUGGCUAUAGUUUUAGACCAACCAUCUAUAAAUCAGAACAGUUUGAAAAGAAUACAAGGUAAUCAACAUCCUUGAGAUCAACAAAUGAAAAUCAAAGUGUCAGGGAAGCAACUGAAAGUACCUUCUUGUCGCCCUUGCGCUUGCGUUUACGCGCGCUUCUGUCUUCAGGAAGACUGUCUGGAUCAUCCAUCCGACGACGCAGCAGCUCAAACUUGUACUCAUCGAUAGCAUCCUGCGCAUCAUAGGCGAACUGCUGGGGCUCCCUCAGUCGAAGCCUUCCAGACUCAUCUCUGACGCUGUCCUCAUCUAUUGCCUCCAGUGAGCGCUGGACCGAUGCCAUCCUCCUCUGCAGCAUCCGCACAUCUCUGUUUGCAGAAGUUUGCUGCUCGUCAGAUGAAGAUGAUGGCUCGAUCGGUGGAGAAACCAAGGAAGCAAGCUUGCUUGCCGUCCAUUUGAUGACUCCAGAUGCAAUCAGACCAGCCAUCUCUCCACUCCUGCUCCUUCCUGCUAGCUGAAAGAAUUUGGGUUGACUAAACUGUAGGAUGGGGCUUGCAAUCACAAAUCACAAAAGUCAGUACUCAGUACAAUGUUAGGUCUGGAGUGGAGAGCAUUGACUUUGCUGUAUGAUAGGGAAAUGCAUUCAAGGCAGCUUUUGGUACCAUUGCACAUGGAGGCUUGUACUUCUAUGGACCAAGGCUGGUUUGGCAAACUGGUUUUCAGUCGAAGAGAUCGGGGCCCCGGUGUGAAAGGGGGCAGGAAGGAACCAUAUAACAUGUUAUGGUGGGCUCUCUGCCACAUCAAUACCUGAAAAUAAAGCAGAGAACAAUUCUGCUUGGAGCCUGAAUUGACUUUCUAUUUUGAUUUAUCAUCAACUAAGGUUCCUGUAUAUUGGUAGUCAAUGAGAAAAAAAUGAAUAUAAUAUUUUACAUGUAAGAAGAAUAGUUACAGUUUAUGCUAAUUCGGCACAGAAAGUGAAGUUCUGUGUACAAGUAACAUGUGUAUACCAUAUAUAGUGCUUGGCUGUAUUCCCUUGCAUCCAGAUGACGUUGACAUUUAUGUAUAUUAAUAUUGCUAGAAAAGAUACAACGAUGUCAAACCAAGUACAGCGUCGCUGCCAAUUGGUCUUACGCUAACCGUAUAUAGAAGGGAUGCAGGUAGCCGCACAGCACACACUAA